ACGCUCGACACCUACGGGGCAGCAGUGGGGAAUAUUGCACAAUGGGGGAAACCCUGAUGCAGCGACGCCGCGUGAGCGAAGAAGUAUUUCGGUAUGUAAAGCUCUAUCAGCAGGGAAGAAACUGACGGUACCUGACUAAGAAGCACCGGCUAAAUACGUGCCAGCAGCCACGGUAAUCUGAGCGGGCUGGCAAGGC
rnacentral:rRNA from 1 species